rnacentral:rRNA from 11 species
UUUUGCAGCUACAGGGCUUCUCUCAACUGCCAGCACCAAAUGCUCUCUGAACUUGGUAGCUAAGCAGGGACAGCACUUGUUAGUACAUGGGUGGUAGACCACUAGUGAAUUGCAGAUGAUGUAAGUU